rnacentral:rRNA from 1 species
AUGGCUCAGGAUGAACGCUAGCUACAGGCUUAACACAUGCAAGUCGAGGGGGCAGCAUUGGAGUAGCAAUACUUCGGAUGGCGACCGGCGGCACGGGUGAGUAACACGUAUCCAACCUGCCGCUUACUCGGGGAUAGCCUUUCGAAAGAAAGAUUAAUACCCGAUGGUAUAAAGAGUUCGCAUGUUCUCUUUAUUAAAGAAUUUCGGUAAGCGAUGGGGAUGCGUUCCAUUAGAUUGUUGGCGGGGUAACGGCCCACCAAGUCUACGAUGGAUAGGGGUUCUGAGAGGAAGGUCCCCCACAUUGGAACUGAGACACGGUCCAAACUCCUACGGGAGGCAGCAGUGAGGAAUAUUGGUCAAUGGACGAGAGUCUGAACCAGCCAAAAGUAGCGUGAAGGAUGACUGCCCUAUGGGUUGUAAACUUCUUUUAUAAGGGAAUAAAGUGAGGGACGUGUCCCUUUUUGUAUGUACCUUAUGAAUAAGGAUCGGCUAACUCCGUGCCAGCCGCGGC